rnacentral:rRNA from 1 species
GGGGAAUAUUGCACAAUGGGCGGAAGCCUGAUGCAGCAACGCCGCGUGAGGGAUGACGGCCUUCGGGUUGUAAACCUCUUUUAGCAGGGAAGAAGCGAAAGUGACGGUACCUGCAGAAAAAGCGCCGGCUAACUACGUGCCAGCAGCCGCGGUAAUACGUAGGGCGCAAGCGUUAUCCGGAAUUAUUGGGCGUAAAGAGCUCGUAGGCGGUUUGUCGCGUCUGCUGUGAAAUCCCGAGGCUCAACCUCGGGCCUGCAGUGGGUACGGGCAGACUAGAGUGCGGUAGGGGAGAUUGGAAUUCCUGGUGUAGCGGUGGAAUGCGCAGAUAUCAGGAGGAACACCGAUGGCGAAGGCAGAUCUCUGGGCCGUAACUGACGCUGAGGAGCGAAAGGGUGGGGAGCAAACAGGCUUAGAUACCCUGGUAGUCCACCCCGUAAACGUUGGGAACUAGUUGUGGGGACCAUUCCACGGUUUCCGUGACGCAGCUAACGCAUUAAGUUCCCCGCCUGGGGAGUACGGCCGCAAGGCUAAAACUCAAAGGAAUUGACGGGGACCCGCACAAGCGGCGGAGCAUGCGGAUUAAUUCGAUGCAACGCGAAGAACCUUACCAAGGCUUGACAUAUACGAGAACGGGCCAGAAAUGGUCAACUCUUUGGACACUCGUAAACAGGUGGUGCAUGGUUGUCGUCAGCUCGUGUCGUGAGAUGUUGGGUUAAGUCCCGCAACGAGCGCAACCCUCGUUCUAUGUUGCCAGCACGUAAUGGUGGGAACUCAUGGGAUACUGCCGGGGUCAACUCGGAGGAAGGUGGGGAUGACGUCAAAUCAUCAUGCCCCUUAUGUCUUGGGCUUCACGCAUGCUACAAUGGCCGGUACAAAGGGCUGCAAUACCGUGAG